rnacentral:rRNA from 1 species
CCUACGGGUGGCAGCAGUAGGGAAUAUUGCUCAAUGGGGGAAACCCUGAAGCAGCAAAGCCGCGUGGAGGAUGACGGUUUUCGGAUUGUAAACUCCUUUUGUUAGAGAAGAUAAUGACGGUAUCUAACGAAUAAGCACCGGCUAACUCCGUGACAGCAGCCGCGGUAAUACGGAGGGUGCAAGCGUUACUCGGAAUCACUGGGCGUAAAGAGCGCGUAGGCGGGAUAGCAAGUCAGAUGGGAAAUCCUAGGGCUUAACCAUAGAACUGCCUUUGAAACUGUUAUUCUAGAGUAUGGGAGAGGUAGGUGGAAUUCUUGGUGUAGGGGUAAAAUCCGUAGAGAUCAAGAGGAAUACUCAUUGCGAAGGCGACCUGCUAGAACAUAACUGACGCUGAUGCGCGAAAGCGUGGGGAGCAAACAGGAUUAGAUACCCCUGUAGUC